rnacentral:rRNA from 1 species
AGCGAACGCUGGCGGCAGGCCUAACACAUGCAUGUCGAACGCCUGUAGCAAUACAGGAGUGGCAGACGGGUGAGUAACACGUGGGAACGUGCCCUUCGGUUCGGAAUAACUCAGGGAAACUUGGGCUAAUACCGGAUACGUCCGCGAGGAGAAAGAUUCAUCGCCGAAGGAUCGGCCCGCGUCCGAUUAGCUAGUUGGUGGGGUAAUGGCUCACCAAGGCGACGAUCGGUAGCUGGUCUGAGAGGAUGAUCAGCCACACUGGGACUGAGACACGGCCCAGACUCCUACGGGAGGCAGCAGUUUGGAAUAUUGGACAAUGGGCGAAAGCCUGAUCCAGCGACGCCGCGUGGUGGAUGAAGGUCUUCGGAUUGUAAACACCUUUUGGCAGGGAACAAUUUUUGAGCGUACCUGCAGAAUAAGUGGUUGCUAACUCUGUGCCAGCAGCCGCCGUAA